rnacentral:ncRNA from 19 species
AUCGUUCAUCCUUUCCAGCAGACAUUCAUCAACAAUGGAGGGACGGAAGUAAGGAUUUUUCCUGAAGGAACGCGCC